GUCAUUCUUGAAUAAGGGAAAUUCUCUGGUUCAUUUCCAGCAAUGCGCGUUCGAAUCGCGCGAAUGACU
rnacentral:tRNA from 1 species